ensembl:lncRNA
UGUAUGUGUGUUAGUAGCUAUUAACUGCUAUAAACACUGUUACUACUCACUAUAUAUAGCUUCACUGUUUGGCUAAGGAAGGAGACAUUUCCCCUGCUGCAGUACAUCCUUUUUUCAAAUCACAUUUUUUCAUAGGAUCCUUUUGAUUUUGCUGUAGCUUUUGAUGAGGUUGAAAAACAUCACCUGACUGCUUGUUUCAUCAAAAUUGGGCAGCACUAAAAUUCUGGGAAUCUGCUGAGAUCUGAGGUGGACUACGUGCUCCUAAGACUCACAGUCCAUGUCAGGCUUCAUCUCAUCAAAAUGAAUGGUGUCUCUUUAUGGCCUGGCAUGUACCGGCAGAAGGUUCUAAGUUACACCAAUGGGACAUUUAAACCUGCCCUAAAAUGCGUUUCAGGUAGGAACAGAAUGACUGUGGAGCAGCCUGCAAUGCCCAUUUGUCGAUUUCCUUGCACUGCACAUGAUCAAUCUGCAUUGCCAUGGGUAAUUUUUGCUGCAAAAGGUGCCUUGUACCAGCUUGUUGAAGCACCAUGGGAAGACACACAAACCACUUGUUUACUCUCUCCAUUUCUAGGAGGUUGGAAGAACCAAACCAUGCUAGAAACAGAACCGCUGCAAGCCAGGCAGCUGAACAGUCAGAGCUUAUGGGGGAAUCCUAGGAGGACUAUUGGAUUGAGAUUUGAGGGCUCAUCAGAGCAGAACAUUGGAUGCAGAGUUCAAAGUGCCCUUGUGUGGGUCCAUUCAGAAGCCACUCAGCAGACCACAGGCGCAUACCUUGUGAGUACUUGGUCUCCUGGAGGUCACACUGCCCCUGGAUGUUUGCUACUAGCUGCUGUGCAGCAGCACUGCCAGAUGUGGGGGACACAAUCUGUUCCUGGC